rnacentral:lncRNA from 1 species
UCGAUAAUACCCACACUUCCAAUUUAUUUGAUUUGAGUUACUCAAAGAUUAUUUGACUUUAAAAUUCAAACUAAUUACUUGCAUCAAUAAAUUUAUAAUUGUGAGAAUCGUAUGAAGGACAGUAAUCAAAUAUGUAAACAUAUACAACGCAUGUAAAAUUUAAAAUCAAAAUAUUAUUUACUGACUCAAAUCAAAUAAAUUAAAAAGUUAGAUAAUAGACUUAAAAUUUUGAAGAGCAGUUAGUCAAUUUAAAAUGAUUUAUAGUUUAGCCAAAUUCAAUAUGUUUCCACCACCACCAAAAAAAAAAACAAAAAAACAAAAAAACAAAACUAGCAAAGGAGUGGUUGGGCAAUUGAAGGAGUGGCACAUAGUUGGGGUGGGUGGCCAAUCACUUCAGUGGGACAAGGACUACUAUGGAUUGUUCUAUAAGCAAUGCUUUGGAGAUCCUAUUUUGGAAUAUCCUAUAAUAUUACUGAUGUAAUAGCAUACACAUAUGAAGAGAAUAGAGUUUCAAAGCUUAAAAUAGGGAAAACUUCAAAUACCCCUUUGUGUUUCAUUUUUUUUCACUUUAGUAUUAUAUGGUUUAAAGUGUAUCAAAUUAGUACUCUAUAGUUUUGCACUUUUUAACUUUAGUACCCUGUGGUUUCGCACUUUCUCACUUUAUUAGUACCCUAUGAUUUCGCACUUUCUCACUUUAAUACCAUAUGGUUUUUAAACCAUAGGUUAUUAACUUGAUACAAAAAUAAAACCAUAGAGUAGUAACUUGAUACAAAAAUAAAAUCACAGAGUACUAACUUGAUACACUUUAAACCACAGGGUACUAAAGUGAAAAAGUGCAAAACCACAGGGUACUAACUUGAUAUACUUUAAACCACAGAAUACUAAAAUAAAAAAGUACGAAACCACAUAGGAAAUUUUUGAAGUUUUUCCUUUAAAAUAUAAUAAUAAUAUUUAAAAUUUAUUAAUAAUAUUUGGAACAUAAUAGAAUAUAAUAGUAAUAUUAUUAUGUCAUCAGCAAUAUUAUAGGGGAC